GAUGAAGAACGUAGCGAAAUGCGAUAAGUAAUGUGAAUUGCAGAUUUCAGUGAAUCAUCGAAUCUUUGAACGCACCUUGCGCCUUGUGGUAUUCCACAAGGCAUGCCCGUUUGAGUAUCAUUAAAUCAUCAACUCUAAAACCUUUGUGGUUUUUUUAGAGCUUGGUCUUGAGGGUUUUGCAGGCUUUUUUUUUUUUCGAGUCUGCUCCCUUUAAAUGCAUUAGCGAGACUUCCCUAUGCUGAACCGUCUCUUUGACGUGAUAAUUAUCUGCGUCGAAUUUUGGUUCUCGUUGGGCUUGCUUCUAAUCGUCUGUUAAAGACAAAACGGAUUUGGGUGCAUAUAUGCGCCUUUUUCCAAAACCUUUUUUGAUCUCAAAUCGGGUAGGACUACCCGCUGAACUUAAGCAUAUCAAUAAGCGGAGGA
rnacentral:misc_RNA from 1 species